rnacentral:lncRNA from 1 species
AGAGAAAAAAUAGAGAGCUCGAGUAAUUUUCAGAGUUUAAAAUUAUAACUUGUGAGUUAGUGAGUGAGAGAUUGGGUGUAUUGGAAUUUUGAAAAGUGAGCUAAAAUAUUAUAAUACUUGUAAUCUUCAUAUCACUAGUAAAAUAUUUUCCUUCUGUUUUCGUUCGUGGAUGUAGGAUAAAAGCCGAACCACGUAAUUUCUGGUAUUCUCUUUUUGUGCUUGUUAUUUAUUUUAUUUCAAUUUUAUUUUAGCUGCGUGUCUGCUCACCUACCAAUUUCCUAACAGAUAAAAUAUUGAAGAAGAGCUUUCAUUACAACACCAUGUUUGGUCGCCCACAAUAUCGGUAUCAUUUGGAGGAACGAUGGAACUUGUGGUGAUACAGUGAACCAAAACGUUGGCAGUUGGCACCUCAAUAACGUUCAUGUCCUUGAGAACUGCACGCGGCUACCAUUCUUAUCAUCGUUCGUUCUUUGCAAAGACCACCGUAUCACUGUAUGAGUCAUUUGCCUAGACAGCUUAAUCACUGUUGGAACCCCAAAUCAAUAACAAUCAGCUUAUGGUUAACCUUGUGAUCAUCAACCAACUUUUCAACAUCCUCCGUGCAGUGAAGCUGCACCACGCACUAAAAAAAAAAAAAACUAGUAAUAGAUGAUAUUGAUUUUAUAAAAAAAAAAUUAUUUUAUUAUGUAAAUAUGAUAGAAUCGUGAUAGAAUUUUAGUCUAUUAAAUAAUUAACAGUGUACUUGUAAUAAAAUAUUUAUUUAUCAAGAAUUUAUGAUAUGCAUGUAAUAGAAAUUAACUCAGUCACAG